rnacentral:rRNA from 1 species
GGACCCGACUGCUAUCAAAGUGGGACUAAGCCAUGCGAGUCAACAUAGCAAUAUGUGGCAUACGGCUCAGUAACACGUAGUCAACAUGCCCAGGGGACGUGGAUAACCUCGGGAAACUGAGGAUAAACCGCGAUAGGUCAUCACUUCUGGAAUGGGUAAUGACUUAAACCUAUAUGGCCCCUGGAUUGGACUGCGGCCGAUCAGGCUGUUGGUGAGGUAAUGGCCCACCAAACCUGUAACCGGUACGGGCUCUGAAAGGAGGAGCCCGGAGAUGGGCACUGAGACAAGGGCCCAGGCCCUAUGGGGCGCAGCAGGCGCGAAACCUCUGCAAUAGGCGAAAGCUUGACAGGGUUACUCUGAGUGAUUUCCGUUAAGGAGAUCUUUUGGCACCUCUAAAAAUGGUGCAAAAUAAGGGGUGGGCAAGUCUGGUGU